ensembl:lncRNA
UUGUAUGAGCAUAUUGGUAACUUCAACCGGUUAAGCAAAAAAGGCAGGAAAGUCAUUGGCUAGCCUUGUUAGGUCCUGACUAAGACUGUAGUUGAGCCAUUAAGUGUUUGAAGUGUUAGAGGGCAAAAUAGAAAAAAAUUGUAUGAGCAUAUUGGUAACUUCGACCGGUUAAGCAAAAAAGGCAGGAAAGUCAUUGGCUAGCCUUGUUAGGUCCUGACUAAGACUGUAGAUGAGCCAUUAAGUGUUUGAAGUGUUACAGGCCAAAAUAGAAAAAAAUUGUAUGAGCAUAUUGGUAACUUCGACCAGUUCAGCAAAAAAGGCAGGAAAGUCAUUGGCUAGCUUUGUUAGGUCCUGACUUAGACUGUAGAUGAGCCUUUAAGUGUUUGAAGUGUUACAGGCCAAAAGAAAAAAAUUGUAUGAGCAUAUUGGUAACCUCGACCGGUUAAGCAAAAAAGGCAGGAAAGUCAUUGGCUAGCCUUGUUAGGUGCUGACUAAGACUGUAGAUGAGCCAUUAAGUGUUUGAAGUGUUACAGGCCAAAUUCGAAAAAAUAGUAAGAGCAUAUUGGUAACUUUGACCGGUUAAGCAAAAAAGGCAGGCAAGUCAUUGGCUAGCCUUGUUAGGUCCUGACUAAGACUGCAGUUGAGCCAUUAAGUGUUUGAAGUGUUACAAGCCAAAAUAGGAAAAAAAAAGUAUCAGCAUAUUGGUAAGUUUGACCGGUUAAGCAAAAAAGGCAGGAAAGUCAUUGGCUAGCCUUGUUAGGUCCAGACUAAGACUGUAGUUGAGCCAUUCAGUGUUUGAAGUGUUACAGGCCAAAAUAGUAUGACCAUAUUGGUAACUUCACACCUUUAAGCAAAAAAAGCGGGUAAGUCAUUGGCUAGCCUUGUUAGGUGCUGACUAAGACUGUACAUGAGCCAUUAAGUGUUUGAAGUGUUACAGGCCAAAUUCGAAAAAAUAGUAAGAGCAUAUUGGUAACUUUGACCGGUUAAGCAAAAAAGGCAGGCAAGUCAUUGGCUAGCCUUGUUAGGUCCUGACUAAGACUGCAGUUGAGCCAUUAAGUGUUUGA